rnacentral:tRNA from 1 species
UUUAAUAUGGCAGAAUAGUGCAAUGACUUUAAACUUCAUAUAUAAAAUUUUAAUUAAUUUUUAUUAAAA